rnacentral:rRNA from 1 species
UGGCGGACGGGUGAGUAAUGUCUGGGAAACUGCCUGAUGGAGGGGGAUAACUACUGGAAACGGUAGCUAAUACCGCAUAACGUCGCAAGACCAAAGAGGGGGACCUUCGGGCCUCUUGCCAUCAGAUGUGCCCAGAUGGGAUUAGCUAGUAGGUGGGGUAACGGCUCACCUAGGCGACGAUCCCUAGCUGGUCCGAGAGGAUGGCCAGCCACACUGGAACUGAGACACGGUCCAG